rnacentral:lncRNA from 1 species
AUGAAGCCUGAGGCGGGAGACGCAAUUAUUACCUCGGGAGACGGAACGACGCCUGAUAGUAAUCAUUGCAUUGAAUGGAUCUGAACCCUCAGUGUUUCCUAUAUAUAUGGGGUCCCCCUCUUCACUAGUACUUUUCUGCUAUUGUUGUCAAGCUAUUGCUCUCGCAUUUAUUUCCUCCUCGCCCUACUCGUGAUCGCCCAGCGUCUUCUACUUUCAGUAAGUACUCUUCUCCCGAC